AUUGAACGCUGGCGGCAGGCCUAACACAUGCAAGUCGAGCGGAUGAAGGGAGCUUGCUCCUGGAUUCAGCGGCGGACGGGUGAGUAAUGCCUAGGAAUCUGCCUGGUAGUGGGGGAUAACGUCCGGAAACGGGCGCUAAUACCGCAUACGUCCUGAGGGAGAAAGUGGGGGAUCUUCGGACCUCACGCUAUCAGAUGAGCCUAGGUCGGAUUAGCUAGUUGAUGGGGUAAAGGCCUACCAAGGCGACGAUCCGUAACUGGUCUGAGAGGAUGAUCAGUCACACUGGAACUGAGACACGGUCCAGACUCCUACGGGAGGCAGCAGUGGGGAAUAUUGGACAAUGGGCGAAAGCCUGAUCCGGCCAUGCCGCGUGUGUGAAGAAGGUCUUCGGAUUGUAAAGCACUUUAAGUUGGGAGGAAGGGCAGUAAGUUAAUACCUUGCUGUUUUGACGUUACCAACAGAAUAAGCACCGGCUAACUUCGUG
rnacentral:rRNA from 1 species